UACGGGGGGGGCAAGCGUUGUUCGGAAUUACUGGGCGUAAAGGGCUCGUAGGCGGCCAACUAAGUCAGACGUGAAAUCCCUCGGCUUAACCGGGGAACUGCGUCUGAUACUGGAUGGCUUGAGUUUGGGAGAGGGAUGCGGAAUUCCAGGUGUAGCGGUGAAAUGCGUAGAUAUCAUGAGGAAUACCAGAGGCGAAGGCGGCUACCUGGACAAUUGCUGACGCUCAGGCACGAAAGCGUGGGGAGCAAAAGGG
rnacentral:rRNA from 1 species